CCUACGGGAGACAGCAGUGAGGAAUAUUGGUCAAUGGACGGAAGUCUGAACCAGCCAUGCCGCGUGCAGGAAGACGGCUCUAUGAGUUGUAAACUGCUUUUGUACAAGAGUAAACCUGAGUACGUGUAUUCGGCUGAGAGUACUGUACGAAUAAGUAUCGGCUAACUCCGUGCCAGCAGCCGCGGUCAUAAGGAGGAUCCAAGCGUUAUCCGGAUUUAUUGGGGUUAAAGGGUGCGUAGGCGGAGUGAUAAGGUAGAGGUGAAAUGUCCGGGAUCAACCCGGGCCGGUCGUUGAAACUGGGGAUCGUGAGUGGUCGAGAAGUAUGCGGAAUGCGGGGUGUAGCGGUGAAAUGCAUAGAUAUCACGCAGAACUCCGAUUGCGAAGGCAGCAUACCGGCGCCCGACUGACGCUGAGGCACGAAAGCGUGGGGAUCGAACAGGAUUAGAUACCCGUGUAGUC
rnacentral:rRNA from 1 species